UUGUAUGCAAAUUUAGCGGCGAGGCGGGAGCGCGCGGUUGAUACCCGGGGACAGGGCUGCGGCGGUUAGUCCUCUCCCGGCCGCCGUCGCCUCCGACAUAUUGCCCGCAGGAGCUGCGGCGGCGAAGCGGAGAGCGCCGGGGGGGAGGAGAUGGGAGGACGAAGAGGUCCCAACAGGACAUCUUACUGUCGAAAUCCACUCUGUGAGCCAGGAUCCUCAGGGGGCGCUGGUGGGGGCCACACUUCCAGUGCAUCAGUGACCAGUGUCCGUUCCCGAACCAGGAGCAGUUCUGGGACAGGGCUGUCCAGCCCCCCUCUGGCCACCCAGACUGUCGUGCCUCUACAGCAUUGCAAGAUCCCUGAGCUGCCAGUCCAGGCCAGCAUUCUGUUUGAGUUGCAGCUCUUCUUUUGCCAGCUAAUAGCCCUCUUCGUUCACUAUAUCAACAUCUACAAGACAGUGUGGUGGUAUCCACCUUCCCACCCACCCUCCCACACCUCCCUGGUAGGU